rnacentral:hammerhead_ribozyme from 1 species
AUUCAGCUGACGAGUCCCAAACAGGACGGAACGCGCGUCCUGGAU